rnacentral:rRNA from 1 species
AUUGAACGCUGGCGGCAUGCUUUACACAUGCAAGUCGAACGGUAACAGGCCUUCGGGUGCUGACGAGUGGCGUACGGGUGAGUAAUGCAUCGGAACGUGCCCAGUGGUGGGGGAUAACGCAGCGAAAGCUGUGCUAAUACCGCAUGUGAUCUGAGGAUGAAACCGGGGGACCAAGCAGCAAUGUUUGGCCUCGCGCCUCUGGAGCGGCCGAUGUCUGAUUAGGUAGUUGGUGGGGUAAAGGCCUACCAAGCCGACGAUCUGUAGCUGGUCUGAGAGGACGACCAGCCACACUGGGACUGAGAGGCGGCCCAGACUCCUACGGGAGGCAGCAGUGGGGAAUUUUGGACGAGGGGCGGAAGCCUGAUCCAGCAAUGCCGCGUGGGGGAAGAAGGCCUUCGGGUUGUAAACCGCCUUUGUACGGAACGAAAAGGAUCUGGCUAAUACCUGGGGCUGAUGACGGAACAGUAAGAAUAAGCACCGGCUAACUACGUG